UCGACCUCAGAUCAAGCGAGAUUACCCGCUGAAUUUAAGCAUAUAACUAAGCGGAGGAAAAGAAACCAAACG
rnacentral:rRNA from 1 species